rnacentral:rRNA from 1 species
AGAUUAAGUUAUUAAGGGCGCACGGUGGAUGCCUUGGCACUAGAAGCCGACGAAGGACGUUACUAACGACGAUAUGCUUUGGGGAGCUGUAAGUAAGCUUUGAUCCAGAGAUUUCCGAAUGGGGAAACCCAGCACGAGUUGUGUCGUGUUAUCGAUAUGUGAAUACAUAGCAUAUCUGAAGGCAGACGCGGAGAACUGAAACAUCUUAGUACCCGCAGGAAGAGAAAGAAAAAUCGAUUCCCUGAGUAGCGGCGAGCGAAACGGGAAGAGCCCAAACCAACGAGCUUGCUUGUUGGGGUUGUAGGACACUCUAUACGGAGUUACAAAAGAACAGACUAGACGAAUCAUCUGGAAAGAUGAAUCAAAGAAGGUAAUAAUCCUGUAGUCGAAAGUUUGUUCACUCUUGAGUGGAUCCUGAGUACGACGGAACACGAGAAAUUCCGUCGGAAUCUGGGAGGACCAUCUCCCAAGGCUAAAUACUCUCUAGUGACCGAUAGUGAACCAGUACCGUGAGGGAAAGGUGAAAAGUACCCCGGAAGGGGAGUGAAAUAGAACUUGAAACCGUGUGCUUACAAGUAGUCAGAGCCCGUUAAUGGGUGAUGGCGUGCCUUUUGUAGAAUGAACCGGCGAGUUACGAUUUGAUGCAAGGUUAAGCAGUGAAUGUGGAGCCGUAGCGAAAGCGAGUCUGAAUAGGGCGUUGAGUAUUUGGUCGUAGACCCGAAACCAGGUGAUCUACCCAUGACCAGGUUGAAGUUCAGGUAACACUGAAUGGAGGACCGAACCGACUUACGUUGAAAAGUGAGCGGAUGAGUUGUGGGUAGCGGAGAAAUUCCAAUCGAACCUGGAGAUAGCUGGUUCUCUCCGAAAUAGCUUUAGGGCUAGCCUCAAGUGAUGAUUAUUGGAGGUAGAGCACUGUUUGGACGAGGGGCCCUUAUCGGGUUACCGAAUUCAGACAAACUCCGAAUGCCAAUCAAUUUAACUUGGGAGUCAGAACGCGGGUGAUAAGGUCCGUGUUCGAAAGGGAAACAGCCCAGACCACCAGCUAAGGUCCCAAAAUAUAUGUUAAGUGGAAAAGGAUGUGGCGUUGCCCAGACAACUAGGAUGUUGGCUUAGAAGCAGCCAUCAUUUAAAGAGUGCGUAAUAGCUCACUAGUCGAGUGACACUGCGCCGAAAAUGUACCGGGGCUAAACAUAUUACCGAAGCUGUGGAUUGUCCGUAAGGACAAUGGUAGGAGAGCGUUCUAAGGGCGUUGAAGCAUGAUCGCAAGGACAUGUGGAGCGCUUAGAAGUGAGAAUGCCGGUGUGAGUAGCGAAAGACGGGUGAGAAUCCCGUCCACCGAUUGACUAAGGUUUCCAGAGGAAGGCUCGUCCGCUCUGGGUUAGUCGGGUCCUAAGCUGAGGCCGAUAGGCGUAGGCGAUGGAUAACAGGUUGAUAUUCCUGUACCACCAUUAUUCGUUUUAAGCGAUGGGGGGACGCAGUAGGAUAGGCGAAGCGUACGAUUGGAUUGUACGUCCAAGCAGUGAGAUUGAGUGUUAGGCAAAUCCGGCACUCUUAAGAUUGAGCUGUGAUGGGGAGAGGAAAUUGUUUCCUCGAGUCGUUGAUUUCACACUGCCAAGAAAAGCCUCUAGCUAGAAUUGUGGUGCCCGUACCGCAAACCGACACAGGUAGUCAAGAUGAGAAUUCUAAGGUGAGCGAGCGAACUCUCGUUAAGGAACUCGGCAAAAUGACCCCGUAACUUCGGGAGAAGGGGUGCUCUUUAGGGUUAACGCCCAGGAGAGCCGCAGUGAAUAGGCCCAAGCGACUGUUUAUCAAAAACACAGGUCUCUGCUAAACCGUAAGGUGAUGUAUAGGGGCUGACGCCUGCCCGGUGCUGGAAGGUUAAGAGGAGUGGUUAGCUUCUGCGAAGCUACGAAUCGAAGCCCCAGUAAACGGCGGCCGUAACUAUAACGGUCCUAAGGUAGCGAAAUUCCUUGUCGGGUAAGUUCCGACCCGCACGAAAGGCGUAACGAUUUGGGCACUGUCUCAACGAGAGACUCGGUGAAAUCAUAGUACCUGUGAAGAUGCAGGUUACCCGCGACAGGACGGAAAGACCCCGUGGAGCUUUACUGUAGUCUGAUAUUGAAAUUCGGCACAGCUUGUACAGGAUAGGUAGGAGCCUGAGAUACGUGAGCGCUAGCUUACGUGGAGGCGUUGGUGGGAUACUACCCUCGCUGUGUUGGAUUUCUAACCCGCACCAUUUAUCAUGGUGGGAGACAGUGUCAGAUGGGCAGUUUGACUGGGGCGGUCGCCUCCUAAAGAGUAACGGAGGCGCUCAAAGGUUUCCUCAGAAUGGUUGGAAAUCAUUCAUAGAGUGUAAAGGCAUAAGGAAGCUUGACUGCGAGACUUACAAGUCGAGCAGGGUCGAAAGACGGACUUAGUGAUCCGGUGGUUCCGCAUGGAAGGGCCAUCGCUCAACGGAUAAAAGCUACCCCGGGGAUAACAGGCUUAUCUCCCCCAAGAGUUCACAUCGACGGGGAGGUUUGGCACCUCGAUGUCGGCUCAUCGCAUCCUGGGGCUGUAGUCGGUCCCAAGGGUUGGGCUGUUCGCCCAUUAAAGCGGUACGCGAGCUGGGUUCAGAACGUCGUGAGACAGUUCGGUCCCUAUCCGUCGUGGGCGUAGGAAAUUUGAGAGGAGCUGUCCUUAGUACGAGAGGACCGGGAUGGACAUACCUCUGGUGUACCAGUUGUCGUGCCAACGGCAUCGCUGGGUAGCUAUGUAUGGACGGGAUAAGUGCUGAAAGCAUCUAAGCAUGAAGCCCCCCUCAAGAUGAGAUUUCCCAACUUCGGUUAUAAGAUCCCUCAAAGAUGAUGAGGUUAAUAGGUUCGAGGUGGAAGCAUAGCGAUAUGUGCAGCUGACGAAUACUAAUCGAUCGAAGACUUAAUCAAAUUUUA